AAUUUGUUUUUGUCUGUACUUACUGUUACACGAAACAGAAUAAUGAAGUGGUUUUAAUAUUGCACUUUAACCAGUUAAAAAAAAAUACGUUACUCAACGUCGAAUUUGUGUUGUCCAAUGGGGUUGAAGUUGAACACCGCGAGGCGCCGUGAUUAUGCACGCAAACAAAUUUGGGACGACGCGACGGUUACUCGACAUAAUGGCGGUCUCACUUCAGUCACUAUCCACGGAGGAUAUUCUUCAGAAAUAAGAAGCUGGAAUACAGGUCACCGAAGAUGAAGCACAGAAAUUCAGAGAGAAUGAGGUUGAUGGUGAAACAAUAGAUUGUGGCCUUACAGAGAACAUGGUUUCAUACUUAUUUGAAGGCUUCUUUAAAAAACAGGCUAAGUUUAACAAAUUUGCACGUGAGAUGAAGGAGGUGGUGACAAUAACUUAAGAACCAGUGCCGGCAGAGAACUAUCAAGAUACUUCAUCUACUGAAAUCACACUUGGCACCAAUCCCUCAAACGGAAAUUUAAAGCUGAACGUGCACCUCUGGUCCAUGAUGAGGUGAGAAAAAGUAAGGACAAGUUUGGGUGCAUAAGACUGAGGCCCACUGAACAAUCUUCACCAGCGUGUCACAGAUCUAUUUAUGGGUUGUGUGAUGAAGUUGACAGAAUGCAUUCAGCUUAAGCCAGCGCUUCAGGGAGGGCUUUACCAGUCUUGUGCCAAAGGUGCUUCACUUCCCAAAAUCUACAAAGCAAGAGUUGAGAUGCUUGCAGAUCUACCAGAUGCUGACUUUCGUGCGACUCUCACAUCCUUAAA